rnacentral:rRNA from 1 species
AUUGAACGCUGGCGGCAGGCCUAACACAUGCAAGUCGAACGAGUGGCGGACGGGUGAGUAAUGUCUGGGAAACUGCCUGCUGGCGGGGGAUAACUACUGGAAACGGUAGCUAAUACCGCAUACCCUCAGAUGUUCCCAGAUGGGAUUAGCUUGUUGGUGGGGUAACGGCGCACCCAGGCGACGAUCCCUAGCUGGUCUGAGAGGAUGACCAGAGACAACGGAAGUGAGACACGGUCCAGACUGAUACUGGAGGCAGCAGUGGGGAAUAUUGCACACUGGGCUCAAGCCUGAUGCAGCCAUGCCGCGUAUGUGAAGAAGGCCUUCGGGUUGUAAAGUACUUUCAGCGGGGAGGCGUUACCCGCAGAAGAAGCACCGGCUAACUCCGUGCCAGCAGCCGCGGUAAUAC